AUAGCUUAAUGGGAACGUUAGAAAACAUUCUUAGAGCAUAUUUUUGUUAGCUGGAUAGGCAUGUUCAUAUAUAAAUAUAUAUACACAUGCACACACACAAAUACAAAGCAGUUAAUUAAAUAAAAUAAUACUGAAAUUAUUAUUCAGUCAAAUAAAUCAUUCAACAUUUUCAGUAACGUUCUAUAUUCUUACUUAAUACAAUUUGAUAUAAGCCAAUGAGGUUUAAGUUGUUGUCAUCAUGUCAUUUCCCAUAAUGCUUGGGGAAGAGCAAGUUUAACCGCAUUUUUAACUGGAGCGCACCCUUGAAAUCUGAUUAUAAAUAAAAUUAGAUUAAGAUGUAAAAUGUGGCAGUGUUCGUAUUUGUUCUUAUUCAUAUAUCCUACAGCCAUAUAUCUGUCAGUCAGGUCGACGUUGUUCAUUGGAACAGUUGUGAAGUAAAGGUAAAUGAUGACAGAACUGUGAGUCUUCUUGGGUGUGACUGUAUGAGGACAUAUGUGUAAUCGGUGUGUCUUUGGUUUUGUGCUAAGUAGAUUAUAAUUUGAAGUCAAAAAAUGGCAGUUAUGAAUCUGCAAACCACAAGAUGUUCUUGCAAAAGAUUUCAGGGUUUGGCUUAGAGGGCUUCUUCUCACACAUUUGACACAUGAAUGGUUAUUUGAAUUAAUUUUUUUAGAGAUGAUAGAUAAUAUAAAGCAACUUACAUUUAUAUUGAAAUUUAUAGUCACUGUGUGUGUGUGUGUGUGUGUGUGUUUAAUAUCAGUUACAUUGUCACUGAAAUGCUGUAAACCACUUUGGAUAGUAGCAUCUGACAAAUGACUGCUUGCUUUGUACUUUCUUACUAAAUAUAACUGAGUAUGCACAUGAUAUGUAGCAUUGCCAUGACUUAUCUAACUCAAAUAUAGCCAAAUUUGUAAAUCAGGAGUAAUAACAUUCUUUCAAAAAAAAAAAAAAAAAAAAAAAAAAAAAGUCAGGGGUGUAACUAUAUUCAAACCGAACCGAAAAAAACACGAUACACCACCCACGGUAUGUACCGCGAUACUCUCAUGGCGUAUCUAACACGCCCCGCCCCCUGCUGCCGCGCCCCGCCCCGCGGAUCUACACGACGAAUAGAGCGUUGUAGCCUAACCACCAUUAACCGCCAAUAGUCACAAUAAGGUCCGCGUUUUGUCACUUUCGAUAAUAAACAAACUGUCAUAUUUCAAAUUCUGUCCAUUUUAUCACAAAAUCCAAACAAAAAAAAAAAAGCCGUUUUGACGCUCUUUGAUGUGGCGUGACAGACUGUACAGGCGCCUGAUUUCAAGCGGCAGCGCUGAGCGCGAGAGAACGCGAUCAUCUCUUCCUCUUUACAGAAUAAACUUGAACGAACAUCUGAAGUUUUCUCCCCUUGCUGUACGGAAAUGACUGAACCGAACCAAGACUUCAAAACCGAGGAGAACUCAAGCGUCCAUAGAACAGAAUGGCAUUGGAGGGAUUAUGCCGGAUGAAGAAAAGGAACGGGUGGUCUGCAGUAAAGGAUUUUUGGGGUGAGGUUAAUGAGGCUGACGCAAGGAUGGUGGCAGUGGCUGCAG